AUUUGAGAAUUAUAGAGAAGUUAUCUAUGAGUGCUGUUGCUAUUUGUUACCUUUUCUUAAACAUUGGCUUAAACACCUCAGUCAAGAUAAUUAUUCAAGAGUUAUUUCAUGGUUAUUCAUGAGCUGGGAAAUUGACCAAAAACAUAAUUUCUAAGUGCACUAUGUUGGCUUUCAUGAUAAUGUACUCUAUUCAUUAAAGUUUUUGAGGUCUUAUGAUUAUCCAAUUCAUGAACUGAUGAUGCUGAGUUAGUUUUGUUCGUUG
rnacentral:misc_RNA from 1 species